rnacentral:rRNA from 1 species
GGGCGUAAAGGGUGCGUAGGCGGUCUAGUAAGUUAGUGGUCUAAACUCAAUGCUCAACGUUGUCCGGCUAUUGAAACUGCUAAGCUAGAGUUAGAUAGAGGCGAGUGGAAUUCCAUGUGUAGCGGUAAAAUGCGUAAAUAUAUGGAGGAACACCAGAGGCGUAGGCGGCUCGCUGGGUCUUAACUGACGCUGAGGCACGAAAGCGUGGGGAGCAAACAGGAUUAGAUACCCUGGUAGUCCACGCCGUAAACGAUGAGUACUAAGUGUCGGGUUAAACCGGUACUGAAGUUAACACAUUAAGUACUCCGCCUGAGUAGUACGUACGCAAGUAUGAAACUUAAAGGAAUUGACGGGACUCGCACAAGCGGUGGAUCAUGUUGUUUAAUUCGAAGAUACCCGAAAAACCUUACCAGGUCUUGACAUGUUUUUGCGAAACGGUAGUAAUAUCGUGGAGGUUAUCAGAAACACAGGUGGUGCAUGGUUGUCGUCAGCUCGUGUCGUGAGAUGUUAGGUUAAGUCCUAAAACGAGGCGCAACCCUUAUCGUUAGUUGCCAGCACGUUAUGGUGGGGACUUUAACGAGACUGCCAGUGAUAAAUUGGUGGAAGGUGAGGAUCACGUCAAAUCAGCAUGCCCCUUAUGACCUGGGCUACAAACGUGAUACAAUGGCUGUUACAAAGGGUAGCUGAAACGCAAGUUCUUGGCCAAUCCCCAAAAAGCAGUCUCAGUCCGGAUUGAAGUCUGCAACUCGACUUCAUGAAGUUGGAAUCGCUAGUAAUCGCGAAUCAGCAUG